AUGAUACAUAAUGAUGACUAGCAUAGUUCAACUGAUACAACUCUGACGACAACUUAAUAUUAUAGUCUUUCGUCCCUAACUGAUGUUUUGU